CGGGGGAUGCAAGUGUUAUCCGGAAUAAUUGGGCGUAAAGCGUCUGUAGGUGGUUGACCAAGUCUGUUGUUAAAAUACAGGGCUUAACCCUGAUCCGGCAACAGAAACUAGUAAACUUGAGUACGGUAGGGGCAGAGGGAAUUCUCGGUGUAGUGGUGAAAUACGUAGAUAUCGAGAAGAACACCAAUAGCGAAAGCACUCUGCUGGGCCGAAACUGACAUUGAGAGACGAAAGCUAGGGGAGCAAAAGGGAUU
rnacentral:rRNA from 1 species